rnacentral:rRNA from 1 species
GUGGUAAAGGCUCACCAAGGCGACGAUCUGUAGCGGGUCUGAGAGGAUGAUCCGCCACACUGGAACUGAGACACGGUCCAGACUCCUACGGGAGGCAGCAGUGGGGAAUUUUGGACAAUGGGGGCAACCCUGAUCCAGCCAUGCCGCGUGAGUGAAGAAGGCCUUCGGGUUGUAAAGCUCUUUCGGCCGGGAAGAAAUCGUAUGGGUUAAUACCCUGUGCGGAUGACGGUACCGGCAUAAGAAGCACCGGCUAACUACGUGCCAGCAGCCGCGGUAAUACGUAGGGUGCGAGCGUUAAUCGGAAUUACUGGGCGUAAAGCGUGCGCAGGCGGUUUUGUAAGACAGGCGUGAAAUCCCCGGGCUCAACCUGGGAACUGCGCUUGUGACUGCAAGGCUAGAGUAUGGCAGAGGGGGGUGGAAUUCCACGUGUAGCAGUGAAAUGCGUAGAGAUGUGGAGGAACACCAAUGGCGAAGGCAGCCCCCUGGGCCAAUACUGACGCUCAUGCACGAAAGCGUGGGUAGCAAACAGGAUUAGAUACCCUGGUAGUCCACGCCCUAAACGAUGUCAACUAGGUGUUGGGUGGGUAAAACCAUUUAGUACCGGAGCUAACGCGUGAAGUUGACCGCCUGUGGAGUACGGCCGCAAGGUUAAAACUCAAAGGAAUUGACGGGGACCCGCACAAGCGGUGGAUGAUGUGGAUUAAUUCGAUGCAACGCGAAAAACCUUACCUACCCUUGACAUGUCCAGAAGCCUGAAGAGAUUUGGGUGUGCCCGAAAGGGAACUGGAACACAGGUGCUGCAUGGCUGUCGUCAGCUCGUGUCGUGAGAUGUUGGGUUAAGUCCCGCAACGAGCGCAACCCUUGUCGUUAAUUGCCAUCAUUUAGUUGGGCACUUUAACGAGACUGCCGGUGACAAACCGGAGGAAGGUGGGGAUGACGUCAAGUCCUCAUGGCCCUUAUGGGUAGGGCUUCACACGUCAUACAAUGGUCGGUACAAAGGGUUGCCAACCCGCGAGGGGGAGCCAAUCCCAGAAAGCCGAUCGUAGUCCGGAUUGCAGGCUGCAACUCGCCUGCAUGAAGUCGGAAUCGCUAGUAAUCGUGGAUCAGCAUGUCACGGUGAAUACGUUCCCGGGUCUUGUACACACCGCCCGUUACACCAUGGGAGCGGGUUCCGCCAGAAGUAGGUAGCCUAACCGCAAGGGGGGCGCUUACCACGGCGGGGUUCGUGACUGGGGUGAAGUCGUAACAAGGUA